CCGAGUGAGGGCCUCGUGCCCGACCUCCAACCCUUUGAAGUGACCAACUCUGUUGCCUCGGGGGGCGACCCGGCCGCCGCGCCGGGACCCCCAGUGGACCACAUCGACCCUGCGUUCCUGCGUCGGAGUUUAAAGGGAAAUCAAUCA
rnacentral:misc_RNA from 1 species